AUACGGAGGAUGCGAGCGUUAUCCGGAUUUAUUAGGGUUAAAGGGUGUGUAGGCGGUAUUUUAAGUCAGUGGUGAAAUCUUUCAGCUUAACUGAGAAACUGCCAUUGAUACUGGAAUACUUGAGUAUAGUUGAGGUAGGCGGAAUAUGUAAUGUAGCGGUGAAAUGCAUAUAUAUUACAUAGAACACCGAUUGCGAAGGCAGCUUACCAAACUAUUACUGACGCUGAUGCACGAAAGCGUGGGGAGCGAACAGGAUUAGAAACCCUAGUAGUCC
rnacentral:rRNA from 1 species